rnacentral:ncRNA from 1 species
GAGAAAUUGAAGAGUAAGAGUAGUAGUAUAGGUGUGGUAGUGUAGAGAGUCAGUGGCAGGUGAAAACUGAUCUAUCUCCUAUAUGAAUGGACUUAUGAGAGCUAUUAAGAACCGAAGUGAUCCUACUUCUAAUUACUAAUAGACGCCUAACCUACGUUAUGGGUAGUAUCUUUUUGAUACGCUAAGUGGGAGCAUAUUAAAUGCUUCAACUUGAGGUGGCAACGCGGUGAAUAUCGUCCUCUUG